AUUGAACGCUGGCGGCAGGCCUAACACAUGCAAGUCGAACGGUAACAGGAAGCAGCUUGCUGCUUCGCUGACGAGUGGCGGACGGGUGAGUAAUGUCUGGGAAGCUGCCUGAUGGAGGGGGAUAACUACUGGAAACGGUAGCUAAUACCGCAUAAUGUCGCAAGACCAAAGAGGGGGACCUUCGGGCCUCUUGCCAUCGGAUGUGCCCAGAUGGGAUUAGCUUGUUGGUGGGGUAACGGCUCACCAAGGCGACGAUCCCUAGCUGGUCUGAGAGGAUGACCAGCCACACUGGAACUGAGACACGGUCCAGACUCCUACGGGAGGCAGCAGUGGGGAAUAUUGCACAAUGGGCGCAAGCCUGAUGCAGCCAUGCCGCGUGUAUGAAGAAGGCCUUCGGGUUGCAAAGUACUUUCAGCGGGGAGGAAGGGAGUAAAGUUAAUACCUUUGCUCAUUGACGUUACCCGCAGAAGAAGCACCGGCUAACUCCGUG
rnacentral:rRNA from 1 species